rnacentral:lncRNA from 1 species
UAGCCAAUCUAAUGUCUAAAUACAGAAUAGAAAAAUGUGUCUUCUAAUUUACUUUAAAAUGAUGACUGGAUGAAUACGUAACCACUGCUCUGAAUGGAAGACUUCGACUGGAAGACUUUUUCACAUGACCCAGGGAAAGGCACAAAGAAACAAAGCUUGUGAUGCUCUAAAAUAAUCAAUUCAUUUGGCCAACACCAUGCACAGAAUGGAAAGCUUUUGCCUCAUUUUUCUUCCC